UUGGGCUUAAUCAUAUCAAUUCCCCAUAUGGAGAAGGGCCAUCGAGAGGAAAUGACAUUCAAUAGUGUCGGAGGAAUAUGAAUCUUAUCUGCAUAAAUUUGACACUUGUGGAAUUUCUUCACAAACUUACAACAGUCAGAUUACAUUGUCAGCCAAUAGUAACAUGCUCUCAACAUUUUCUUUGCCAUAGCAUGUCCAUUAGAAUGAGUACUAAAGUAACCUUCAUGGACUUCAGUCAUCAACAAGUUUGCUUCGUGUCUAUCCACGCAUUUGAGCAAAAC
rnacentral:lncRNA from 1 species